UUUGGCCUUCAUCGAAGCUUACAUAUUUUCAUUUGAAUAUGGAAGUCUAAAAUAGGCCAAUAUUAACGUCCCCCAUCGGUCGCGGUUUAGAUGAUAUUUCUUCAACGUAUUACCAAGGGAGGAUUACAUUU